rnacentral:misc_RNA from 1 species
GUAGGUGAACCUGCGGAGGGAUCAUUCACAUGAUUACUUUCAAAAACAAACUGUGAACUUUAUAUACUAUUCGUGUUUGUGAUUUAUCACUAACAUUGUCAUUCGAUUGAACAUAAGAUAGUUGGCUUUUUGAAUUUAUUUUCAAAUUUCUCAGCUUUGAUUUUGAUAUUACUAAACAUUUUAUCAUAUCAACCAUAAACAUAGAAACAACUCUAUGCCCUGGAUAUCUUGGUUCUGGCAUCGAUGAAGA